CAAUCAAGUGCAGUGGCCAAUUUAAGCUUCGGACACCGAAGCGCCGUCACAAGCUUCGCGGAACAUGCAUUCUUGGCGACGACAACAAGCAUUUUUUUCAGCUAUCAGCCAAGCGGGGCGAGCGGAUGGACAGGGGACUUGAAUCCGGGUCAAAAUUUCUGAGCGUGGUUUCAGCCAACAUUUUAUUCUGAACUUUGAACGCUGGUGGGGCCUGAUUGAAACUGACCAGUGCCAUGCUCAGUCAGGUACAGUGACGAGUUUGUGCUCAUUUAUGUUUGAGAAGUCGAGGAAGGUAAAUGCACAUAUACUGUCAA
rnacentral:sRNA from 2 species